AUCAACUCAAUCUUCAUCAAUACACAUCUCGAACUUUCUUCUUCUUCUUCAACAAUCAAGCUCUGCUUCUGGCUUUUCUCCUAGUCCAAUUCCCAUUUAAUCUUCAUCGUCUCCACCAUAGUUCUCGCCGACUCCAUCACCAUAACCCGUCGUCGAUUCACCUUCGCCCAAAACUCUAUCUCCGAUUUCCCUUCCUCCAUCUUCGUCGGACGCUCCAAUGAAUGCACCAUCCUUCUUCAUCUCCAACGCUACCCAAUCAUCUCCAUCUCAAUCUCCGUCGGCCGACGACACACCUGCAGUUUCUUCUCCAGUGUUGUCGAAUCUGAGCGACGUCAACCACAACAACCUCAACGUAUACGGAGUAGAGACCUUUGUUCAAAUCAACAGUUCCAAAAACGCUGAUAUGCCAAACUAGAGAAGUUUCGAUGUGGGAAGAAGGGUUAUGGGCUCAGGUUGCUUGAUGAUAUAUUUAAAGGAGGUAUUUCGUUUUGCCUUUGCGAUUGUUUCUGGUGAAACUGUAAACAAUUGGAGGUGGUUUCUGCAAAAGAUAUCGGAUGUCUUACUGGGCUCUUUUUUGGGUUUUUUGAGUUUUUUUUGUAUGAAAUGGUAUUAACAAUGCACUUCUAUGACAUGG